rnacentral:tRNA from 1 species
GCCCCCAUAGUCUAGCGGUUAGGACGCCACCCUUUCAAGGUGGAGGUCACGGGUUCGAAUCCCGUUGGGGGUACCA